CUAGAAUGCGCGGCCCCUGGUGACGGGAAGCCGGUCGAACUCCGGCGCUGCCCCCGCAACGGUAGGUCAGGACAUCCUUCCAGCAAGCCACUGUGCCGCCGGCAUGGGAAGGCGGAAGGACCGGCACGGCGACGUGCCACUGGCGAGCCCGGAGACCGGCCAGGAGCGGCCGCCGCCU
rnacentral:ncRNA from 2 species